rnacentral:lncRNA from 1 species
UCCGAGUUAUAUGGCUCAAGUUCUUCUGGUGCAGAGCUCCGGAUUUCCGAAGCUGGUCGGUCGACCGGCCCUCGGACGUCCGGAGGGAGCCGGAAGUCCGAGUUAUAUGGCUCUGAUCUCUCUGGUAUACGAUUCCGGAUUUCCGAAGCAGGUCGGACGUCCGACCCUCGGACGUCCGGAGGAGGCCGGAUGUCCGAGGCAUUGGUUCUGUUUUGAGAUAAGAGCAGAGUAGUGAAGAUGUGGUAUGAGCAGAAAAGUAGAGAUGUAGUAUGAGCAAAUUCAUCGCAAAACCUGUGACCCCCUCUUAAUAGUGCGGGAUCCCUAUACUCAAG